AUUAGUCCCUAAUUGAUAUAUGCUAACUGUUAUCGCAAUUACUGAAUUAAAUAAGUGCUAAGGCAUCCUAAUACAAUUCUCAAUGGGCUUAAUAUUUAAAAAAUCGCACUCUUGGGGUGAAUUAUUAAUUUUGGCCGAUCAUUUUAAUUUUAUUAAUUUUUUUCAUAACUCUACCUUAAGAUUUAAUUUCAAUUUUAAUAAUUAAUUUUCAUGAUUAAAAUGAUAAUUUGGCCAUUUUUUGUUUGCGAGAAAAUAGUUUUAUAAGUUUGGAGAUUUGAUAUUCUUUGGAGAGAGAUAGUAAACUAGGAGAGAGGAAUUUUGAGAUUUCAAUUUAAAUUAAUUUCUUUUUUUGAGAAAUAAAGCUUAUCAUUGAAGCAAAAGACCAGCAGGGUGAAGCGUCCACAGCUACAAGACCAGAUAUGAAAGGAGGAACAUCUUCCAUCUAAAUAAUUUUGAAAUACUCCAAAGAACAGGUUACCUUAGCAAGAGUAUGAGCUACAACAUUAGCUUCCCUAACCAUGUGCAUACAAGAGAAAGAAGAUAAAACAUGUAAUUCAAGUAGAAUGAGAUGGACCUGAGUGCCAAAAUAAGAGCCAGGAACAUGUUUCUCUUUUGCAGAUGAUGAACAAGUGCCAAUGAAUCUGACUCGAGAAUUAGUGAGGUAAAACCUGUAUCCUUAGCUAGCUGGAUACCAAAAAGCAUAGCUUUUGCUUCAGCGUCCUUAAGAGACAAAGACCCACUAAAAUGAUGCGAUCCCGGCAUGGGCACUUCCCCCUUAUUGCGUAGGACAAUACCCAAGCCGCAAAAAAUACCCUCUGUUAAGGAAGUCAGCUAUGUAUCCCUAAAUAAUUAGGAUUCCAAAGUAAUUAGGUUUCCAUGUAUAGAUUAA
rnacentral:misc_RNA from 1 species